CUCAGUGUGGUAAUACAUGCGUUUGUAAGUCUAACUACUGAGAGGGUGAGGCUGGUGGCUAUCUUGAGCUCAUGAGUUCUGAGCUACAAUGGGCAGUGCUGACUGAAUAUUAGCACUAAGUUCAGUAUUGAUAUGGUGGGCACCCAGGAGCCAGGAGGCCACCAGGUUCACUGAGGAGGAGCAUACCUGCCCAAGUUGGAGACAGAGCAGAUCAAAAUUGCUCUGCCAAUCAGUAGUAGGAUCAAGCCCAUGAGUAGCCCCUGUACUUCUAGCCUGGGCAAAAUGGAAGACCCAGAAUUA
rnacentral:SRP_RNA from 1 species